GUGUCCUACGGGGGGCAGCAGUGGGGGAUAUUGCACAAUGGGGGGAACCCUGAUGCAGCGACGCCGCGUGGGUGAAGGAGCGUUUCGGCGCGUAAAGCCCUAUCGGCAGGGAAGAAGAUGACGGUACCUGACCAAGAAGCCCCGGCUAACUACGUGCCAGCAGCCGCGGUAAUACGUAUGGGGCAAGCGUUAUCCGGAUUUACUGGGUGUAAAGGGAGCGUAGGCGGCAGGGCAAGCCUGAUGUGAAAGCCCGGGGCUCAACCCCGGGACUGCAUUGGGAAAUGCCCCGCUCGAGUGCCGGGGGG
rnacentral:rRNA from 1 species